UUUUAAAGAAAUAAAAGAUCGAUUUAAACACCCCUCGUAAAACAGAGGACCAAAUGAGCAAUUGGCCCAUUUAAAAAAAUGCGCGGAUCCUGGGACCGGGUCGGGUCACCGCGCGGGUCAUGGCCCCCCAUACGGCGUCGUUUUGCAAGUGUUAUUUAAAAGGAAAAAAACCUAAAAAACAUUUGCAGGGUCCCUUAAAAAAACAACAGAGGGCCACCCCUUUUCCUCUGCUAGGGUUUUGGCCCUAGCCCCCUUUUGCGUCGCCGUUCAAGCGAUCCAAUCGAUCCGAAAUCCGGCGCCGAUCCCGAGCCCGACUCAGAUUAAAAUCGGGCUUUUAUAGCCGAAAUAGCAAAGAAGAAAAUCUAAAAAAAAUCAAAUAUCAAUCUAUUCUGUUGUUUGCCCGAUUUUUGCGCUCUGUUUUGUGUUUGUUGCUGCAGGUACUACUGGGGGCGUGUGCGCGACAUUUGCGGAGGUGCGCGAGGAGUGGGAGCGACGGGCGCGAUGUGCGGCGCCUGCGGGGGGUGGUGGUACGGCGCUGGGGCUAAAGCUGAAGGCGGCGGCUAAGGACUUUUCUACUUAGGGUUUCUUAGUUUUUAGUUAAGUAUUGGGCUAUUUAGUUAUUGGGCUAAGGUUAAAUGUUGGGUCUAUUAGGCUGUUUGGGUAUUGGGUUUGUAAAGAAUUGGGCCUUUAUUUUUUUAUUUUUUAUUUUUUGCAUGCGGGCCCGAGUAAAUUGGGUUUGUACAGUGGGUUUCACGCUUUAGUGUUAAUUUGUGGUUGAAGUUCCUAA